rnacentral:misc_RNA from 1 species
GCAUACGCAUGCAACACGGCGACAGACGACCUCGCUCCGUUUCUCUCGGCCGAGCGUGCACCCCAUCUGUCGUCGUCGCCCGCAACUAAUCGCGCCUGCUUCAUCUCGGCGCGUCCGCUCGAAACUGCUUCAAAUGGAAUACGAAACGCAUGGAAGAGUGCAGCGUGCGUCGUGAACGAAAUGUAGGCGUAAAAAACGCUAAAGCUAGCGCUCUCCAGCUUGACAACUUGACGUUAUCAAACGCGCGCUUCCUGUCGCGCUUCCUGAUUAAAAAGAAUGGACAAUUUUUAAACGAGUAUCGCGACUUUUUAUAUACAAUAUACCUCCGACGCGCACUCGUAUCUCGCACAUCGUAACUCGUAUCUUUCGUGCGAUUAAAGCAACAGAUAAUAUUGAUUCUUUCUCGCGCAGGAUUUUUUUAAAUAGUAUACGAAAUAUCUGUAUUCUUCUUUCGCAUACGUUGCAUCUUGCAAUUUUUUCCUCUCUGCCUUUAAGUUUUCUAAAUGUUAUAUGUUAUUAUUGCAUGUACCAAUUAAAAGAGAUCAGUUUAUAUAACGAAUGAAAUAUUUAAAUGGUUAUUUAUGAACAAAUGCUUGAUUAGUCAGAAAAAAGGCAGCGACAGAGAAAACUACUUCAUUGAGCCGCGUUGUGAACCCAUAUAAUCACACGGGAUUGAUCGAGAGCGACAUUUUUCUUUAAAGUCGCGACAAAAUGCGCGUUUUCAAAGCCACGUAAAAAAUCAACCGUUUCCUCACUUUCUCAAUAUCUUUCGGAAUAUCACGCGUCAUCACUAAUGAAUGCGCGAGCGCGACAUCGCGCCCGGAUUCCCGCCUGGGCGGUCACCUCCGACAUUGCGCAGCCUCGUCCGAAAGAACAACGCGAUGGAAAUCAAGGUCGCUCGCUUUCACCACGACCUUUCACCUUUUCGGCUCGCUUGUUGGUCGAUACGCUGACGGAGGACGAAAGAUUCGUGUCUUAUCUCCUGCCCGAGAUUCUCGAGGCAUUCUCCUUGACGUAUCCGAUACGCCUUAUCGACGCUUUUCUAUACGGCUAGGACUUUGUUCAAUGUCGAUCGGGAGAAAAGACUGCAGAGAUAAGGACAUUUAUACAUACGAAUUGUACAACGCGCAGGUUAUAUCUAUAUAGAUGUGUACGCGAAAGAGAUGACUUUUCUCAGCGUCGAUACCGGUCGACUGGAUCACGUAGGUGUGCGAACGAGGCACGAUGACGAGGAAAAGGAAAAUUACACGUGCAACAGGAGAGGCCGGCAGGGCGGGAGGGAUCGAUAAGAGAAAUCGAACCGAGCGUGCUACGUGGAAUUGUGAAAGUGAAGGUACGUCGCUAUUACCACCGUCGCCGCCGCCGCCGCCGCCGCCACAGCAGGAGCAACAACUUUCGACACAGGUCAUUUGGGCUCGAUGAAUACCUGUUGCUCGUUGGUAGUCGACCGACCGAUUGUUCCCUCCCUCACACAUUGUGCCGGAACGGAGAGUGACGUAGGCCACUAUCAAAGGAUUUGAAGGGGAAACGACGAUAAACACGACGUACAAUAGGGAGAUACACCAUCCAUCCAUCCAUCCAUCGUUUUACAUUUGUUCAGAAGUGUCAAAUAUCGGCUGUCGGCGAGAAUGGAGCGUCAGAGGAAGAAGCUGGCUGAGUACAAUCAGGAACAUCUGCUUAGAUUCUGGGAGGAGCUGACAGACGAGGACAGGCAUCACCUGGAAAAUGACAUUGAUGAAUUGAAUCUACAAGAGAUUACUUUAUAUUUUAAAAAAGCACUAGAAUCCUCCCAAUGCAUUGGCAAAGGUACGCUGGAUGACAAAGUACAGCCUAUAGAUGAAAAAAAGAUUGCUUCUGCCAAAACAUCCACAAAGGAAGAGCUGAGAAUGUAUGAGGAACUUGGCCUAAAAGAAGUUGCUGAAAGUCGUGUAGCGGUAUUGUUGAUGUCGGGUGGUCAAGGCACACGUUUAGGAGUGACUUAUCCUAAAGGGAUAUAUGAUAUUGACUUACCAUCGCAUAAAACUCUCUUCCAAUUGCAGGCAGAGAGGAUACUACGUUUGCAGAAUAUUGCAGAACAACAGUGUGGAAAAUAUGGAGAGAUAACUUGGUAUAUUCUUACCAGUGAAGCCACUCAUGAUGCUACUGUCACCUAUCUUAGCAAGCACAACUACUUUGGCUUGAAAGAAAAAAAUGUCAAAGCUUUCAAGCAAGGUAUGUUACCAUGUUUCACCUUUGAUGGCAAGAUUAUAUUGGAUGCGAAGCAUCGCAUUUCCAAAGCACCCGAUGGCAAUGGAGGAUUGUAUCGUGCACUGGAAAAUCAAGGAAUAUUGGAUGAUAUGAUGCAACGUGGGAUUCGGAGUAUACAUGCACAUUCCGUGGAUAAUAUCUUGGUGAAAGUAGCAGAUCCUAUAUUUCUAGGCUAUUGUUUAGUUUCUGAAACAGAUUGUGGGGUUAAAGUGAUUGAGAAAUCUUCUCCCUCUGAAGCAGUGGGUGUAGUUUGCAAGGUAGAGGACCACUAUCAAGUAGUUGAAUACAGUGAGAUCACAAAGGAUACUGCGGAACUUUGUCAUGCUGAUGGACAAUUGGUGUAUAAUGCUGCCAAUAUAUGCAACCACUACUUUACAGUCAAUUUCCUGAAGGACGUUGGAUACUUUCACGAAAAAGAUUUGGAUUUGCAUGUCGCAAAGAAAAAAAUUCCAUACAUUAAUGACGAGGGAGAGAGAAUCACUCCAAAAAGCCCGAACGGUAUCAAAAUAGAGAAAUUCGUGUUCGAUGUAUUUCGUUUUUCGAAGAACUUUGCGGUAUGGCAGGGCACUCGCGACGAAGAAUUUAGCCCGUUGAAAAACUCCAACUCCGCCGGUCAAGAUUGCCCGAGUACCGCGCGUAGCGACCUGCUAAAUUUGCAUAAGAAGUGGUUGCUAAACGCGGGUGCGAAGAACGUCGGUAACGAUGUCGAGAUUUCUCCGUUGCUAUCAUAUGCAGGCGAGAAUCUAAACCAGAUCGCAAACAAGCAGUCUUUCGUGGGACCACAAAUUCUCGAAUAACCGACAUUAACCUGAUAACGAGAUAUCUUGGAAAACAAGUAUCAAGAAUGUUUAUCUCUCUGUGAUGAAGUACGAUUAAACGUUGGGAGAAACCGGAAAUUGACGAGAGAUAUAAUUCGUCUUGGUAUGUAUCUCUUACGAAUUUCCAGUUUUACAUUCGCGAACGGAAUAUAUGGCCUAUAUGUAUGUCGCAGUGAAAGCGAUUAAUUUGGUGAUUCCGUAAAAUUUCUGACGAUUCUACAAAGUACAAUAAUAUUCUACAAAAUUGUAUUUUGUAGAAUCGUUUAUGUGAUUUUACAAAAAUGCCAGUUAAUUACUUUCAUUGUAAUAUCGUUCGUUAUGUCAGUAAUAACAUUAUAUAAUUUUUAUACCAGUGCUUUUGAAACUUAUACAUAUGAUAUCUUUUGAUAUCGUUAAGUAGUAUUGUUAGUACUCGCACUUACAAUGACUGGACUGGAACUCCAGUUAUUGUAUGAAUCAGGCAAAAUGUGUAAGUAAAAAUUGUACAAUAUACAUAUGCACAUUAUUGUGCAUUGAGUAUGAUUUGGCUGUAAUUUGAUUGUAAGUACUUUGAAAAUACAUCAUUUUUUUAUAAGCUGUUAUGAUAUAUAUGUUGAAUAAAAGUCAUGAGCAUACAA